AUCCAGCUGACGAGUCCCGAAUAGGACGAAACGCGCAUACUGGAU
rfam:Schistosoma margrebowiei strain Zambia genome assembly, scaffold: SMRZ_scaffold0001371